GUCUCGGGCCGGGAUGUUCACAACCCUUUGUUGUCCGACUCUGUUGCCUCCGGGGCGACCCUGCCUCCGGGCGGGGGCCCCGGGUGGACAUCUCAAACUCUUGCGUAACUUUGCAGUCUGAGUAAAUUUAAUUAAUAAAUUAAAACUUUCAACAACGGAUCUCUUGGUUCUGGCAUCGAUGAAGAACGCAGCGAAAUGCGAUAAGUAAUGUGAAUUGCAGAAUUCAGUGAAUCAUCGAAUCUUUGAACGCACAUUGCGCCCCCUGGUAUUCCGGGGGGCAUGCCUGUUCGAGCGUCAUUUCACCACUCAAGCCUCGCUUGGUAUUGGGCGACGCGGUCCGCCGCGCGCCUCAAAUCGACCGGCUGGGUCUUUCGUCCCCUCAGCGUUGUGGAAACUAUUCGCUAAAGGGUGCCGCGGGAGGCCACGCCGUAAAACAACCCCAUUUCUAAGGUUGACCUCGGAUCAGGUAGGGAUACCCGCUGAACUUAAGCAUAUCAAUAAGCGGG
rnacentral:rRNA from 1 species